rnacentral:rRNA from 1 species
UACGUAGGGGGCUAGCGUUGUCCGGAAUCAUUGGGCGUAAAGAGCGUGUAGGCGGUCCGGUAAGUCCGCUGUGAAAGUCGGGGGCUCAACCCUCGAAUGCCGGUGGAUACUGUCGGGCUAGAGUGCGGAAGAGGCGAGUGGAAUUCCUGGUGUAGCGGUGAAAUGCGCAGAUAUCAGGAGGAACACCAACGGCGAAGGCAGCACUCUGGGCCGGUACUGACGCUGAGGAGCGAAAGCGUGGGGAGCAAACAGG